AAUUGAAUAUAUACAUGUAAUUAGGGAAUUGUAUACAAUAUAUUAAAAUAAUGGUUAUGAAUGUAAAAUAUGAAGAAAUUAUAUAAUGGCUCCGUAUGGCAUAUAAGAUUGUAAAUUAUUAAUGCAUAUUUAAAGAAAAUACAAUGAUUUUUUAAACUUAUAUGAAUAAUGUAACAUAUAAAAACAGUUGAUUUAUGUAAAUAAUUUUAGAUGUUUUAUUAAUAAUAAAUUUUUUUUUUGUUUUGAGAUAAAGAUGAAAAUUAAAUGUCCAUAACCAAUUAUGUUAAAAGGGGCCUUAUUUAAAAAACCCAUGUGCUGUAAAAAAAAAAGAAGCCCAUUUGGUAACCGUUUUUUUUCCGGGAAAGAUAACCAAAAAAAAAUUGUCUUUAUGUUUAUUUUGUUUAAGUUAUGUCGUCAAAAAUUAAAAAAUAUCUUAUCUUCUUCGAUGUUCAAUCUGAGGCUUGUCUUUGAUGCUCAAUCUGAAGACAUUUUUCUGCCGUCAAAAUAGGUAGUGGAAGAUCGAACUUUUGAUUUGGCCGAUCUAUAAUCAUAUAUAAAAGAUAGGAUCAAGGUGAUCAGGGUUCAAAUUAGUUACAUGGAUGUUGACUUGAAGUUUUCGGAUCUCUUUGACAAACUGAUAUGAAGAAUUGAUCUCCUUGUCAGAUUGGAGUGCCAUAAACGUCAAUAAUACUUGUGAUUCUGCAAGGGACUGAUCUCAAUAAUACAUCUGACCAUUAUUCAAGAUAAGUUAUUAUACAAUGCAAGAAACAUUAGAAUUCAAAUAAUGAGAUUCUCAUAUUCAAUAUUUGUAAACUAUCAACUGUUAACUAAUGUGUUUUUUUGUUAAUUUCCUUGGUUAACCAAAGUAGACGGAGGUAUAAUGAUGGAAAUGAGUUUGUGCAGUUGAAUCUUUAGAGGCAGAGCUUAAUUCACAUGAAAGACAUUGGAGGGGAGACAUAACAUUAUGCAAUACGUAACCAACAUAUGCAGCAAACAAUCGGCAUAUACCAACCUCAGAGAUUUCAGAGAUUUCGGAGAUCAUUGAAAUCCCAACAUCAUCCCAAUCAUCGGCAUGUGGUAUGAUUUCUCUUUUGUCAUGCUUCUUGUCAGUAAUAGGAAGAGCAAUAGAAUUUUCUUCUAUCCUGAAAAUGAUAUAAGUAUUUAUUUUAUAGCUAACCACAAUCUCUAUUAUAAAAAUAGUAAAUAAAAAUAUUAAUUGAGAAAAUGUUACCUUCUUUUGAAAUCGACAGCCUCAGCCAUUGUUGGGUUCAGGUCCAACAACGAUGCAUCAAAUGCAUUGGUAAUUUGAAUUUCACCUAACAUAGGUAACAAUUGGAGCAUAUUAGGAGAUUUUUUUAAAAUAGCUUUUAAAUAAUCGUUACCUAGAAACUCGCCGAUUUUGGCAAAUCUUAACAACCAAACAGUGUUUGACGGAUCCAAUUCUUGGACACUGUUUUCGAUUUGCUCAGCAUAGGAUCCCCAAAGACAACAUGCCAAAUUGUUACCGCUACGUAUGAAAUGAUAAAUUUAUAUUAUACACUUAUAAAAUUGUUAAACUAUGACCAAUACAAAUUAUAAUCAUUAUACAUCUUACCUGAUGUCUCUCAUACGAAACUGAAUUCGCUUUCGGUCCUCAUGGUUCACUUGAACGAUUUGGACUGCACCCACGUCAUAGGGAUGGCCAAGUAUGUCUAAGUUUCAUUAAACAGAGUAAAGUGUGAGAUGAAAAAUAUAUUAUAAGAAGCUCGUAUAAUAUAAAAUAAAACAGAACAAAUAAAUAUACCAAUGAGAACGUUUGAAUUUUCCUUUCCGUUUAAAAUGUUUUUGUAAUUGGCUAAAGUCAAGAAAGGGUUAUCAUCUUGGUGGUCGGAUCCGGUGAAAACCGUUUCACUGGUGAUAGUCAUCUUAUAUUGAUGACUUGUUUGGUCGAUAUUUUCCUUUACCCACUCCGGAUAUCUUAAAGUUUUCAAUCACACGCCACUCUCCCAACGGAAGGUUACGUUGGGUCCGAAACAUGUGUGCUCGCGGACAUGUUGCAUGGAUUUUAACACCCUGUAAACAAAUUUAAAUGAUUAGAAACUUAAAGCUUAAACGGAUCAUCUAAAUAUAGGUUUAAGUAGAACUUACAGUCUGAUCAGCUAACACGAAUUCUAGUGUUUCAUCGGCAUAGGGAGGGGUUUGUUUCCAUGAGCGAAUAACUUUCACUUGUAGACGCCAUUUACUUUUAAAAGGCCUCAAUCCGUUUAUCAAAGUAAGACUCUUGUUCUCUGACAUGAUAAACUAUAAGCAACGAUCAAAAUAUUAGUUUAGUAGUGGUUUAGGUUAUUGAACACUUAUGCAAGGUUAUGUAUAUAUAAUGUAAAUGUGAAGCCCUAAUCAAUGGAAUAUACUUUAAGUGGGGCGGAAGACAAAAUCUUGUGAUUUUAUGGAAGAAUAUAAUUUGUUCCCAAAAUUUCUCCAUAUCGUUCGCAAAUAAUGGGAAACCAGUGAGAUAGUUAUAUAUUUAGAUUUUUUAUAAAUCUAGAAUUGAUUGUUUCUUUCUCUGCAAGAAAAUGAAUUGGUUGUAAUCAAAAAGAUAUGAUAUUGAAGAGGAGAUAUUCGAUUAUAGGUUUGUAUUUAAUGUGAUGUCCUCCUACGUUUUCGGUUAAA